UUAAUUAAAAAACAUUAAGUUGCAAACUUAGAAAAGGCAAACGGCCCCGCUGUUG
rnacentral:tRNA from 1 species